UGGAAGCGAAACAAAUCCCCUGACAAUAAAAUACGGGAUAGAAAAGCAGGAAGCAAUACCACAACAUAACACUUCCAUAAUUCAACAGAAUUACAAACAGAGGUCUACGGCCAAAAGUCUACAAAAGACCAGCUCUUAAAAAUGAAUUGUCCUACGACCUACAAGUCGGACACGUUCUCCAAUCUUAUGACUUCACCUCUGCAACUCCUCAAUGCCAACCAAAGCUAUCUGGUCGCUCCGUCCACCAGGAACCUGAAAUUUUAAUCCCACAACCGGGAUGAGACGAUGUCUCAGCAAGUUCAACCCCCUAAACCCCUAUUAGAAAGAAAAUACGCCCCGGGUGGCCUAGCCACAUCACACAUAGGACUUACCUCGCCUCAGCCUUUAUCUGCAGGUUAGCACAAUUUAUAUGAACCAACCACGUGCAAUUAUGAUAACCAAACAACCAUGGCAUAAUCACAUUAUCAAACCAUUCAACCACUUGGAUCGUCUCAGCGAUCAAUCGACUCGGCCGAUUACAUGUCAUUCUAGCAAAUCAAUCAUUGCUCUCAACUACGGCCCUACUCGGCAAAUUUAAAUCAGUGGCAUCACGGCCCCACUCGGCGCGACCUUUAACAGGUGGCAAUUCACGGCCCCACUGGGCGCGACCUCUAAUAGGUGGCAUAUCACGGCCUCAUCGGGCACGACCUCUCAUAGGUGGUUUAUCACGGCUUCACUGGGCACGACCUCUAAUAGGUGGUAUUUCACGGCCUCAUCGGGCACGACCUCUCAUAGGUGGUUUUUCACGGCCUCAUCGGGCACGACCUUUCCUAGGUGGUUUAUCACGGCCUCACUGGGCACAACCUCUAAUAGGUGGUAUUUCACGGCCCCAUCGGGCACGACCUCUGAUAGGUGGUUUUUCACGGCCUCAUCGGGCACGACCUUUCCUAGGUGGUUUAUCACGGCUUCACUGGGCACGACUUCUAAUAGGUGGUCAAUCACAGCCAAUCUCCCAUCAAUUUCUACACUUAGGAUUUCAUAAAGAAUCCCUAUAAAUCACAAUCACACUCAAUUCAUCACAACCAAUCAUCAAUAUCAAAUUCUAAAUGCAUAGCAGCGAUCGGCACGAAAUUCUGAGAGUUUAGGGUCUUGACAAAAUUUUCGGAAUUUAUUAAAUAAUUAAAUUUAUUCCGAAAAUAAUUAAAUAAUAAUAUUCAUAUUUUUCACGAUCCACACUCAAUUUAUAAUAUCCAAUCAUCAAUUUCAAAAUCCAACUACACAGCAGCGAUCGGCACGAAAUUCUGAGCAACCGGGAUCAAAAAUAAUUUUUCCGUUUUUUUUUUCAAAUAAUGAUAUUUUAAUAAUUUCGGAAUUAAUAUAAUAUUAUAAAUUUCCAGAAUUUCGAAGCAAUUAAAUAAUUCAAAAUUAAAAACCCUAUUAUGUCACAUCAAGACUUUAUAUUAAAAAUAAACAUACUUAACUUUAAACUAAGCCCACUUUAACUUAAUUAAACACCAUAAUCUAAUCAUCAACCAAAUAAACUAAUUUAACCAACUAAGCUUACUUAACUUUGGCUAAGCACACUUAGGGCAUCAUUAACCGUCUAAUCAAGGUUUAGUGAGUUAAACUCACCGGAUUAGCAAGCCGAGCGAACCAAAACGACGAGGACGACGCGAGGAUCGACUUUCCUCAAGGCGGGCCGAGCAUCCGGGCUCAGGAAGGCGGCCGAAACGGGCCAAACAUCCGCUGCAUACCCAUUUUUUUUCAGCUGCUGUCCAUGGCGGUUUGAGGCCGAGGAAGGGUAGAUCCGGCGCCGGUUCAGGUCGAAAAGGGCGGAGGAGCUACGGCGGUGGCUGGCGGCGACGAACGGCGGUGCACGGUGGCGACGAAUGAGCUCCGGCAGCUCUUGCGCGAGCUGAACAGCAGCUCGGGACGACGAGCUGGGCGAAGCGGGCGGAGCGGCGCGCGGCCAGGCGCGGGCGAGCGCGAGGUAGACGCGCGACGGCGGCGACGGGCGAACGGCGAGACCUCCGACUGGCGUGCAGCUUCGGACGGUACUUCUCUGGUUGCUGCUGGGUCUCGAAGCAGCCAAGGGAGAUGGAGAAGAGAGACCGCAACGGGAGAGGAAGGGCAAGGAGAGGGGGUCGGCCAACGGCGGUUCGGCAUGACGGCGAGGUGGCGAACUCCGGCGAUGGGUGGCCGGUCGAGCGGAUGGAGGCGGCGUCGGGGCUGGUCGCACGAGCAGCUCCUCCC
rnacentral:lncRNA from 1 species